CAGUAGCCGCGGUAAUACGGAGGGGGCUAGCGUUACUCGGAAUUACUGGGCGUAAAGGGUGCGUAGGCGGGUUUUUAAGUCGGAGGUGAAAUCCUGGAGCUUAACUCCAGAACUGCCUUUGAUACUGAAAGGCUUGAGUAUGGGAGAGGUUAGUGGAACUGCGAGUGUAGCGGUGAAAUGCGUAGAUAUUCGUAAGAAUACCAGUGGCGAAGGCGGCUCACUGGCCCAUAACUGACGCUGAGGCACGAAAGCGUGGGGAGCAAACAGGAUUAGAUACCCGCGUAGUCCCUGUCUCUUAUAC
rnacentral:rRNA from 1 species